rnacentral:rRNA from 1 species
UACGGGGGGAGCAAGCGUUGUUCGGAUUUACUGGGCGUAAAGGGCGCGUAGGCGGCCACCGCAAGUCAGUUGUGAAAUCUCUGGGCUUAACCCAGAAAGGUCAACUGAUACUGCGGGGCUAGAGUGCAGAAGGGGCAACUGGAAUUCUCGGUGUAGCGGUGAAAUGCGUAGAUAUCGAGAGGAACACCUGCGGCGAAGGCGGGUUGCUGGGCUGACACUGACGCUGAUGCGCGAAAGCUAGGGAGCGAAGCGGGAUUGAGAAACCCCGUGGUAGUCCAAG